UACGUAGGCAGCAAGCGUUGUUCGGAGUUACUGGGCGUAAAGAGUGCGUAGGCGGUCCUUUAAGUUCGGUGUGAAAUCUCCCGGCUCAACUGGGAGGGUGCGCCGGAAACUAGGGGGCUAGAGUAUGGGAGAGGAAAGCGGAAUUCCUGGUGUAGCGGUGAAAUGCGUAGAUAUCAGGAGGAACACCUGUGGUGUAGACAGCUUUCUGGACCAUGACUGACGCUGAGGCACGAAAGCGUGGGGAGCAAACAGG
rnacentral:rRNA from 1 species